GUCAGGCCCAAGAACUGUAGCGCUGGCGUGGAUUGAAAGAUAUAAACUAUAAAACUAAUAUGGCGAGAUUUCCUUUUGGUCGGUUAGAAGAGACUGAAAUACGGAAGCCUUCGAAAGUACGCUUGGUUUUCUUGAUAUUGUUUCUACUGCUGCUUAUUCUGUCCGGAAUCUUCAUUGUGCUGUAUUUUAAAGUCUUUAAAGAGAAGCCCAAAUCGUCUGAGAAAUGUAGUUUUCCUGCUUGUAUCAGUGCUGCAGGUAUGUGUGAGGUUAGGUUUGCUUUCAUUAUCGCGCCUUAGUGGGACAUGAUUAGAACUACAAAAGAAAUAAUUGAUGAUUUAUAGAAACGUAUAUAAUAAACUCACUAUAGGCGCGUGUACGCACGCGAAAUUGAUAGCUUAAUUUUUUCAGAAAACGGUAUAAAUUGACAAUUUCCCGUGCGUGAUACAAAAUGACUGAAAAACGGCAAACUUAUAUUAUCCGCAUUUUACAAUAUUUCGCAACGAAACUUUGGAAUAUUACUAAUUUUGUUCAUUAGGUAAUAGGUCCAUUAAAUUAAAACGGGCUGAAAUUUUGUCCAUAAUAUAUUAAUUGAACAAGUCUACAGGGCUCUUUGGCUGCUUAUUGCUUAUAAACAGCCUCUUCCGUUUUCAAUAUUCGGUAUUCUGUUACUAGCAAAAUAAUACACACAAUACAGUACUUCCUUGAAAGUUUUUUUAGUGAAUCUAAUGAGGAGUUGCAAGAUAUUUCAAAUCCACCUCUUGUAUAAUAAUCAGUUUUAAUUUUGUGUUACAGCUCAAACGAGCAAUUAACCGAGGCCGCUUUUGCAUAUUUUUAAUGUUUUCAAAUUAUGACCACGUUUACACUUGUACCGGAUACGUUUCCGUAGCGACGUGAAAAAGCACUUACCCGUGCGUUUUAGGAACGUUUUAGGAAUUAUUGCUGCCGAACGGCAACGAGGCAGCACACUAUUCUUGAGAUCUAUGAAACUCGAGCCAGCCUCCUUAAAUUUGCCGAAAUAUAUAUAAAGUCGACAGAAUGUCGAUUUUAGCGACCGAUGUAGGAUGUUCAGUUUUAUGACGUUUUAUGACGUGUGAGUUUCAUAUUAUCCGUUUUCGCGAAUCAAUCGACAUAUCUUUACCGCAAUAUCCGCAUUAGAACAAGACGCUCUGUUGAUCUAUGGCAGCGUUUAAUCGCUGGGAUUUAUAUUAAAGAUGAUGUCCAUUUCUGUGCUCAUGCGCAAACUUUGUUUACGUUUUGAACUGCUAUAUUUGUAAAAUAUGAUAUACUAACCGGAUAUCUACCACUUUUCUUGUUCGCUGUG
rnacentral:lncRNA from 1 species